AUUGAACGCUGGCGGCAGGCCUAACACAUGCAAGUCGAGCGCGCGACGGACGGGUGAGUCAUGUAUGGGGACUGACCGAUAGGGGGGGAUAAAUACUGGAAAAGGUGGCUAAUACCGCAUACUUGCGGAUAACCACUAUGGGAUUAGCGAGUAGGUAAGGUAAUGGCUUAACUGGGCGACGAUCCCUAGCUGGUCUGAGAGGAUGAUCAGCCACACUGGGACUGAGAGACGGCCCAGACUCCUACGGAGGCAGCAGUGGGGAAUAUUGCACAAUGGGCGCAAGCCUGAUGCAGCCAUGCCGCGUGUAUGAAGAAGGCCCUAGGGUUGUAAAGUACUUUCAGUCGGGAGGCGUUACCGACAGAAGAAGCACCGGCUAACUCCGUGCCAGCAGCCGCGGUAAUUC
rnacentral:rRNA from 1 species